GAAAUUGAACUCGCUGUGAAGAUGCAGUGUACCCGCGGCAAGACGGAAAGACCCCGUGAACCUUUACUAUAGCUUGACACUGAACAUUGAGCCUUGAUGUGUAGGAUAGGUGGGAGGCUUUGAAGUGUGGACGCCAGUCUGCAUGGAGCCGACCUUGAAAUACCACCCUUUAAUGUUUGAUGUUCUAACGUUGACCCGUAAUCCGGGUUGCGGACAGUGUCUGGUGGGUAGUUUGACUGGGGCGGUCUCCUCCUAAAGAGUAACGGAGGAGCACGAAGGUUGGCUAAUCCUGGUCGGACAUCAGGAGGUUAGUGCAAUGGCAUAAGCCAGCUUGACUGCGAGCGUGACGGCGCGAGCAGGUGCGAAAGCAGGUCAUAGUGAUCCGGUGGUUCUGAAUGGAAGGGCCAUCGCUCAACGGAUAAAAGGUACUCCGGGGAUAACAGGCUGAUACCGCCCAAGAGUUCAUAUCGACGGCGGUGUUUGGCACCUCGAUGUCGGCUCAUCACAUCCUGGGGCUGAAGUAGGUCCCAAGGGUAUGGCUGUUCGCCAUUUAAAGUGGUACGCGAGCUGGGUUUAGAACGUCGUGAGACAGUUCGGUCCCUAUCUGCCGUGGGCGCUGGAGAACUGAGGGGGGCUGCUCCUAGUACGAGAGGACCGGAGUGGACGCAUCACUGGUGUUCGGGUUGUCAUGCCAAUGGCACUGCCCGGUAGCUAAAUGCGGAAGAGAUAAGUGCUGAAAGCAUCUAAGCACGAAACUUGCC
rnacentral:rRNA from 1 species